rnacentral:hammerhead_ribozyme from 1 species
AUCCAGCCGAUGAGUCCCAAAUACGAUGAAACACUCGUCUUGGAU